GCGCUUGCUUCAGCAGCACAUAUACUAAAAACUGGAACCAUACAGAGAAGAUUAGCAUGAUCCUUGAACACGAAUGAUACACAAAUCUGUGAAGCAUUCCAUAUUUUU
rnacentral:snRNA from 1 species